rnacentral:rRNA from 1 species
UGACCUCAAAUCAGGUAGGACUACCCGCUGAACUUAAGCAUAUCAAUAAGCGGAGGAAAAGAAACUAACAAGGAUUCCCUUAGUAGCGGCGAGCGAAGCGGGAUGAGCUCAAAUUUGAAAUCUGGCGUCUUUCAGGCGUCCGAGUUGUAAUCUAUAGAAGCGUUUUCUAUGCUGGACCGUGUCCAAGUCCCUUGGAACAGGGUAUCAAAGAGGGUGACAAUCCCGUACUUGACACGACCACCAGUGUUCUGUGAUACGUUUUCUACGAGUCGAGUUGUUUGGGAAUGCAGCUCAAAAUGGGUGGUAAAUUCCAUCUAAAGCUAAAUAUUGGCGAGAGACCGAUAGCGAACAAGUACCGUGAGGGAAAGAUGAAAAGCACUUUGGAAAGAGAGUUAAACAGUACGUGAAAUUGUUGAAAGGGAAACGAUUGAAGUCAGUCGUGUCUAUUGGUUUCAGCCGGUCCUGCCGGUGUACUACCUUUAGACGGGUCAACAUCAGUUUUGGACGGCAGAUAAGAGCAGUUUGAAUGUAGCACCUCCGGGUGUGUUAUAGCUUUCUGUUGCAUAUGCUGUCUGAGACUGAGGACUGCAGCUCGCCUUUUAGGCCGGGGUUCGCCCACGUUCGAGCUUAGGAUGUUGACAUAAUGGCUUUAAACGACCCGUCUUGAAACACGGACC